CUCAUUUCCACACCUUGUUUUCUUCUUCAAUGGAUUUCUUUUUGCAUAUAACCCAAUAGGUGUUUAUUAUAAUAAAUAAUCUCAGUCAAACUUAUUCGGACAAAAUAGAGUCGUCAAAAUCUUAGUAGACCGUAUUAGGCUUGACUUCGAAGUAGACGGAAUGUUCGUCAAGUCCAUUCCAAAUGCUUUGAAUACUUCAGUCGUCGUCAUAACUGUGGCUUUCAUUGACUCCAAUUCUUUGUUUACCUUGGAGAAUUUUUUCUUGCUCUUUUUUUACACGUUAUGAAAUUUAAAACAUAAAUGAAUUCGAUAAUAUAUGAAAUUAAUGAAAUAAAUUUAAAGUACCUUCAUCUUUUUCAUUUGUGCCGUCCACAUCUGACGCUCGCCAUUAG
rnacentral:lncRNA from 1 species